UUUGAAAUAUUUAUUUUAAAAUUUUUUUUUUUUUUAAAAAAAAAAUAAAAAAAAAAAA
rnacentral:ribozyme from 1 species